CACUUACAGAUGAAUCCGCGUCCCAUUAGCUAGUUGGUGAGGUAACGGCCCACCAAGGCGACGAUGGGUAGCCGACCUGAGAGGGUGAUCGGCCACACUGGAACUGAGACACGGUCCAGACUCCUACGGGAGGCAGCAGUGGGGAAUAUUGGGCAAUGGGCGCAAGCCUGACCCAGCAACGCCGCGUGAGGGAAGAAGGUCUUCGGAUUGUAAACCUCUGUCCUUGGGGACGAAAAAAAUGACGGUACCCAAGGAGGAAGCUCCGGCUAACUACGUGCCAGCAGCCGCGGUAAUACGUAGGGAGCAAGCGUUGUCCGGAAUUACUGGGCGUAAAGGGUGCGUAGGUGGCCUUUUAAGUUGGAUGUGAAAUACCCGGGCUUAACCUUGGGAGUGCAUUUGAAACUGAAGGGCUCGAGUGCAGGAGAGGUAAGUGGAAUUCCUAGUGUAGCGGUGAAAUGCGUAGAUAUUAGGAGGAACACCAGUGGCGAAGGCGACUUACUGGACUGUAACUGACGCUGAGGCACGAAAGCGUGGGGAGCAAACAGGAUUAGAUACCCUGGUAGUCCACGCUGUAAACGAUGGAUACUAGGUGUGGGGGGUAUCGACCCCUUCAGUGCUGCAGUUAACGCAAUAAGUAUUCCGCCUGGGGAGUAUGCACGCAAGUGUGAAACUCAAAGGAAUUGACGGGGGCCCGCACAAGCGGUGGAGUAUGUGGUUUAAUUCGACGCAACGCGAAGAACCUUACCAAGGCUUGACAUCCCGUGACAGCCAUGGAAACCUUGCAAGUUUACUUGCACACGGAGACAGGUGGUGCAUGGUUGUCGUCAGCUCGUGUCGUGAGAUGUUGGGUUAAGUCCCGCAACGAGCGCAACCCCUACAGCUAGUUGCCAGCACAUAAAGGUGGGAACUCUAGCAGAACUGCCGUUGACAAAACGGAGGAAGGUGGGGAUGACGUCAAAUCAUCAUGCCCCUUAUGUCUUGGGCUACACACGUGCUACAAUGGCUGUAACAAAGGGAUGCAACAACGUAAGUUGAAGCGGAUCUCACAAAAACAGUCCCAGUUCGGAUUGUGGGCUGCAACCCGCCCACAUGAAGAUGGAGUUGCUAGUAAUCCUGAAUCAGAAUGUCAGGGUGAAUGCGUUCUCGGGGUUUGUACACACCGCCCGUCACACCAUGGGAGUUAGAGGCACCCGAAGCCGGUGACUUAACCGUAAGGAGAGAGCCGUCGAAGGUGAAGCUAGCGACUGGGGUGAAGUCGUAACAAGGUAACC
rnacentral:rRNA from 1 species